UUAUGUAAAUGGAAAAGUGAAAAUGCCUUUAUUAAUAAAAAUAUGUACAGAUACAUACUAAAUGAUAUGCUCUAGGGCAUACUACUAACAGUUCUUUCUCCUAUGCAAAUUAUUGCUAUGAACAACGAGAAGCACUUCAUGCAUAGGAGAUCAAGUUACAAGAACUACCAUAUACAAAAUUAUACAUUCCUCAAUAAUCUUCUGUAAACAACUACAAUACAGAAGAAAACUAGCCAACUCUCGCACGCCAAGCCCUAAAAUCCAGAAAUGCAACCAACCAUCAACAGUUUUUUUUUUUUUUUUUUUUUU
rnacentral:misc_RNA from 1 species